rnacentral:rRNA from 1 species
CACGUAGGGCGCAAGCGUUUGUCCGGAAUUAUUGGGCGUAAAGAGCUCGUAGGUGGUUUGUUACGUCUGCUGUGAAAAACCUAGGGCUUAACCCUGGGCUUGCAGUGGAUACGGGCAGGCUAGAGUUCGGUAGGGGAGACUGGACUUCCUGGUGUAGCGGUGAAAUGCGCAGAUAUCAGGAGGAACACCGGUGGCGAAGGCGGUUCUCUGGGCAUGUCCUGACGCUGAGGAGCGAAAGUGUGGGGGAGCGAACAGG